UACGUAGGGUGCGAGCGUUACUCGGAAUUACUGGGCGUAAAGCGUGCGUAGACGGUCAUGUAAGUCGGGUGUGAAAGCCCCGGGCUCAACCUGGGAAUUGCAUUCGAGACUGCAUGGCUAGGAUGCGGAAGAGGGAAGCGGAAUUUCCGGUGUAGCGGUGAAAUGCGUAGAUAUCGGAAGGAACACCAGUGGCGAAAGCGGCUUCCUGGUCCAGCAUCGACGUUCAGGCACGAAAGCGUGGGGAGCAAACAGG
rnacentral:rRNA from 1 species